rnacentral:rRNA from 1 species
CGCGUAGGCUGUUUGCCAAGUCAGGUGUGAAAUCCCCGGGCUUAACCCGGGAACUGCGCUUGAAACUGGCAGACUAGAGUACGGGAGGGGGAAGCGGAAUUCCGAGUGUAGAGGUGAAAUUCGUAGAUACUCGGAGGAACACCCGUGGCGAAGGCGGCUUCCUGGACCGAUACUGACGCUGAGGCGCGAAAGCGUGGGGAGCAAACAGGAUUAGAUACCCUGGUAGUCC